UACGUAGGGUGCUAGCGUUGGCCGGAAUCAUUGGGCGUAAAGCGCGUGUAGGCGGUUUGUUGCGUCUGCUGUGAAAAUCCGGGGCUCAACCCCGGACUUGCAGUGGGUACGGGCAGACUAGAGUGUGGUAGGGGAGACUGGAAUUCCUGGUGUAGCGGUGAAAUGCGCAGAUAUCAGGAGGAACACCGAUGGCGAAGGCAGGUCUCUGGGCCACUACUGACGCUGAGAAGCGAAAGCAUGGGGAGCGAACAGG
rnacentral:rRNA from 1 species